CCAACAGGGAUUGCCCUAGUAACGGCGAGUGAAGCGGCAACAGCUCAAAUUUGAAAUCUGGCUCCCUCGGGGUCCGAGUUGUAAUUUGUAGAAGAAGCUUUGGGUGAGGUGGCGGUCUAAGUUCCUUGGAACAGGAUGUCAUAGAGGGUGAGAAUCCCGUAUGUGAUUGCCCACCUUUACCCGUGUAAAGCUCUUUCGACGAGUCGAGUUGUUUGGGAAUGCAGCUCAAAAUAGGUGGUAUAUUUCAUCUAAAGCUAAAUAUUGGCCAGAGACCGAUAGCGCACAAGUAGAGUGAUCGAAAGAUGAAAAGCACUUUGGAAAGAGAGUUAAACAGUACGUGAAAUUGUUAAAAGGGAAGCGCUUGCAACCAGACUUGUGUGUGGCUGAUCAUCAGGGGAUCUCCCCUGUGCACUCGGUUACGUAUGGGCUAGCAUCAGUUUUGGUGGUCGGAUAAAGACCUAGGGAAUGUGGCUCCUCUCGGGGAGUGUUAUAGCCCUAGGUGCCAUGCGACCUACCGGGACUGAGGACCGCGCUUCGGCUAGGAUGCUGGCAUAAUGGUUGUAAGCGACCCGUCUUGAAACACGGACCAAGGAGUCUAAUAUCUAUGCGAGUAUUUGGGUGAUAAACCCAUAUGCGCAAUGAAAGUGAACGGAGGUGAGAACCCCUUUGGGGCGCAUCAUCGACCGAUCCUGAUGUCUUCGGAUGGAUUUGAGUAAGAGCAUAGCUAUUGGGACCCGAAAGAGAGUGAACUUUACGUGAAUAGGGUGAAGUCAGAGGAAACUCUGAUGGAGGCUCGCAGCGGUUCUGACGUGCAAAUCGAUCGUCAAAUUUGCGUAAAGGGGCGAAAGACUAAUCC
rnacentral:rRNA from 1 species